UUAUACGGUACCACUUAGGUUAUGGUACCACUUAUGUCAUUCGCCUGCCAUAACCUGCUAAAGCAUGUAAUUUUAUCUUUUUUAUUUAAUUUUUUUUUAAAACAUUGUCUCUAUUUUUUUUUUGAAUCGUUUCCUUUUCCACUUUUUUUUUUCUUCUCCAGCUUACUCUCCCAAAUUUGCUUUUUUUUUUUAAAUUGGAUUAAAGAGAUAUCGGGCAAGAAAAAGAAGAUGAAGCAUGAAGAACUUAGAAGAAGAUGGAAGAUUGCAUGAUAUGUAUAGGAUGCACAAAAUAAUGAAGAAAAAAAAACAUGGUAUGGACAGAGUGUUGUUCUCCACAUUGAGGUUUUGAAAAUCAACCAGCCAAUUCAGUUCAAAUUUGAAAGUUUCAGGUUAAAUUUGGCUAUAUGGCAAAGAAGAGACGAUAUGUCAAAGGACAAAACUAACUAAAAAAGUUAUUUUUUAAAGAAGAACUGACAGCAGGAGAUUAAGGAAGUUAUUGUUUUGUGGCACCGUCUAUCACAUUUGGGGGGCCAUAAAUGAGUUGAUACUCAAGAAGAAUCUUAUUCCAAGCAGCAGAGUCUUCUGUAAAUAAAGUCUAAUGGUGUUAUAAAAAAUAGUAGGAGGAAGUAAAUUCAUGAUGCUCCCCUUGAUAAGUUGUUGAUGUGUUGUUCCUGUGUUGUAACAUUGUUUGUGUUGGGUCAGUUAGUGAGUUUGAGUUGUUUCGAGAGUUGGGUUUGGGCGGUAUGUGGCUUUGUUUAGGCCUUUAGCCAGUUGUUGUUUGGUGUAUCUCUCUAAGCAAUAAAAUCGUUCUCUCUUGGUGAUUGACUAGAAAAAAGAAGUUUUUGCAAUGUUAAUUUAACUAUUCAUUGGUUCCA